rnacentral:rRNA from 1 species
CAACAGCAAUAAUUGACUAAGCGAUAUAUUCCUUAAAUGGAUAACUGUGGUAAUUCUAGAGCUAAUACAUGAAUUUAAGCAGAGUGUCUUGUGCGCUCUGUUCAUUUAUUAGACCAAAACCAAGCGGCCUCGGUCGUUUAUUUCGGUGACUCGUAGUAAUUUCGUUGAUCACAUGAUCUCGUAUCGGUGACACGCUUAUCAAGUUUCUGCCCUAUCAACUUUUGAUGGUUCUUUAUUGGAGAACCAUGGUUAUAACGGGUAACGGAGAAUUAGGGUUCGACUCCGGAGAGGGAGCCUGAGAAACGGCUACCACAUCCAAGGAAGGCAGCAGGCGCGAAAAUUACCCACUCUCAGUUCGAGGAGGUAGUGACGAAAAAUAACAAGGCUGAUCGCUUUGCGAGCAGCUAUUGGAAUGGGUACAAUUUAAACCCUUUAACGAGGACCUAUGAGAGGGCAAGUCUGGUGCCAGCAGCCGCGGUAAUUCCAGCUCUCAAAAUGUACUUAACCAUUGUUGCGGUUAAAAAGCUCGUAGUUGGAUCUCUGCAGCGCGUGGUGGUUCGUUCAUUGAACGAUUACUUCUUCGCGUUGCUCUCUUUUGUCGGUUUUUGGCUGUGCUCCUCACGGGGUGCAGUCGUGACUGACGAGUUUACUUUGAAUUAAUUAGAGUGCUUAAAACAGGCGUUUCGCUUGAAUAGUCUAGCAUGGAAUAAUGGAAUAGGACUUCGGUUCGAUUUUAUUGGUUUUAUGGAUCGAAGUAAUGAUUAGUAGGAAUAAACGGGGGCAUUCGUAUUGUUACGUUAGAGGUGAAAUUCUGGGACCGUAGCAAGACGAUCGACUGCGAAAGCAUUUGCCAAGAAUGUUUUCAUUAAUCAAGAACGAAAGUUAGGGGUUCGAAGGCGAUCAGAUACCGCCCUAGUCCUAACCCUAAACUCUGCCAACUAGCGAUCCGUCGAUGGUAAUUUAGCCUUGAUGGGGAGCUAAU